rnacentral:rRNA from 1 species
GAUGAACGCUGGCGGCGUGCUUAACACAUGCAAGUCGAACGGAAAGGCCAGUGCUUGCACUGGUACUCGAGCGGCGAACGGGUGAGUAACACGUGGGUGAUCUGCCCUGCACUUCGGGAUAAGCCUGGGAAACUGGGUCUAAUACCGGAUAGGACAAUGGUUUGGAUGCCGUUGUGGAAAGUUUUUUCGGUGUGGGAUGAGCUCGCGGCCUAUCAGCUUGUUGGUGGGGUAAUGGCCUACCAAGGCGUCGACGGGUAGCCGGCCUGAGAGGGUGUACGGCCACAUUGGGACUGAGAUACGGCCCAGACUCCUACGGGAGGCAGCAGUGGGGAAUAUUGCACAAUGGGCGCAAGCCUGAUGCAGCGACGCCGCGUGGGGGAUGACGGCCUUCGGGUUGUAAACUCCUUUCGCUAGGGACGAAGCGUAUUUGUGACGGUACCUGGAGAAGAAGCACCGGCUAACUACGUG